UACGUAGGGUGCGAGCGUUAAUCGGAAUUACUGGGCGUAAAGGGUGCGCAGGCGGUUCUGCAAGUCAGGCGUGAAAUCCCCGGGCUUAACCUGGGAAUGGCGCUUGAAACUACGGGACUGGAGUAUGGCAGAGGGAGGUGGAAUUCCACGUGUAGCGGUGAAAUGCGUAGAGAUGUGGAGGAACACCGGUGGCGAAGGCGGCAUCCUGGACCGGCAUUGACGCUGAGGCGCGAAAGCUAGGGGAGCAAACGGG
rnacentral:rRNA from 1 species